UGACGUCGGUUCCUCCUCCUGCCUGAAGUGAGUCAGGAGGAUUUUACGACGUCGCAGAGAAACUCGGGUCUUUUUCACCCAGGAAGCUUCAGGCUUCGGCCGCUCAUUAAAAAAGGCUUCCUGGUUUUGCAGGACCCAACAAAC